CAGCCAUCGUGUUGCACAGUGUCUUCUUCCUCUCAGGUGCUUCUGCUGAUUGUUCUGAGGAUUCAGGUCUAUUCAUCACCGCACCAAAAGAGAUGGAAGCACUGACUGGAUCUUGUUUGCAAAUUCCAUGUAACUUCAGUGUUAAACAAGGACUGGAAUUCAACAGCACAACAACAACCUUUGGAGUGUGGAUUAUAAAUAACUUUGGCCAACAUCCAAAUAAUGUGGUUUUCAACAGUAGUGGGACAGUUUCCACAUAUCCGAUGAGUUUUACUGGAGACUUGAGUCAGAAAAACUGCACCACUUUAUUUUCCAGUUUAAAAACAACAUACACAGACACAUACUACUUCAGGGUUGAGAACCGGCCAUUUCUAGCAACAGCUGUUUGUGAUGUUCUUCAAAUAACAGUUAAUGAUUCUCCUCCAAAGCCCAGGAUUGAGAUCCCAGGU